UACGAAGGGGCUAGCGUUGUUCGGAUUAACUGGGCGUAAAGGGCGCGUAGGCGGGUCUUUAAGUCAGGGGUGAAAUCCCAAGGCUCAACCUUGGAACUGCCUUUGAUACUGGAGAUCUUGAGUCCGGGAGAGGUGAGUGGAACUGCGAGUGUAGAGGUGAAAUUCGUAGAUAUUCGCAAGAACACCAGUGGCGAAGGCGCUCACUGGCCCGGUACUGACGCUGAGGCACGAAGGCCAGGGGAGCAAACAGGAUUAGAGUA
rnacentral:rRNA from 1 species